UGGCGGACGGGUGAGUAACGCGUAAGAAUCUAGCUUCAGGUUCGGGACAACAGUUGGAAACGACUGCUAAUACCGGAUGUGCCUACGGGUGAAAGGCUUGCUGCCUGAAGAAGAGCUUGCGUCCGAUUAGCUAGUUGGUAAGGUAAGAGCUUACCAAGGCGUCGAUCGGUAGCUGGUCUGAGAGGAUGACCAGCCACACUGGGACUGAGACACGGCCCAGACUCCUACGGGAGGCAGCAGUGGGGAAUAUUGGACAAUGGGCGAAAGCCUGAUCCAGCAAUGCCGCGUGGAUGAAGAAGGUCUUCGGAUUGUAAAGUCCUUUCGGCGGGGACGAUAAUGACGGUACCCGCAGAAGAAGCCCCGGCUAACUUCGUGCCAGCAGCCGCGGUAAUACGAAGGGGGCUAGCGUUGCUCGGAAUGACUGGGCGUAAAGGGCGCGUAGGCGGUUUGGUUAGUUAGACGUGAAAUUCCCGGGCUCAACCUGGGGACUGCGUUUAAGAC
rnacentral:rRNA from 1 species